UACAGAGGUGGCAAGCGUUGUUCGGAAUUACUGGGCGUAAAGGGCGCGUAGGCGGCCAUCUAAGUCAGACGUGCAAGCCCGUGGCUCAACCACGGAAUUGCGUUUGAAACUGUUUAGCUUGAGUACAGGAGAGGAAAGCGGAAUUCCCAGUGUAGCGGUGAAAUGCAUUGAUAUUGGGAAGAACAUCUGUGGCGAAGGCGGCUUUCUGGUCUGUUACUGACGCUGAGAUACGAAAGCCAGGGUAGUGAACGGG
rnacentral:rRNA from 1 species